rnacentral:lncRNA from 1 species
UUGUAAGCUCCGAGGAGGAAAACCUAAAUAUAUUUUGUGGUUUUGAAAUGGAAUUUGCGCCGGAGCGAAUGACUCCCAGCCGGGGGGGAGAGACGCCAUGGCGUUGUUUACAUAACGAAGACGCGUCGGGGGUCCCAGUAGCAGGUGACCUUCCUGGAAAUUACCGAGACUUAGUGUGUUUUGAAAAAGUCCUCUGGAGAGUGGGUCCAGGACUUACACCUGCAAACUUCCUGUUUCUUGGGUUGAGAUGAGUAACGACUAAACCCUUGAGAAAUUAACAACUGGAUCAUGGAGACACUGCUGUUACAGCAAGCACAGAGCAGAGCCGUCCAGGGUAGCAGCAAGCACAGAGCCGAGCCGUCCAGGGUAGCAGCCAGCAAGCAAGUACAGGGAAGUCCAAGGCAGUAGCCAGUAAGCACAGUCUAGGGCAGCACUGCACUCCAGUGUUCAGAACAACAUUACUGUACAAAAUAAAAUGUAAAAUUAA